AAGUGAAAUGAUGGUAACCAUCUUUCGGGACUGACCUGAAAUGGAGAGAACAUUUAUUUCUGAUCACUU